CUGACCCGCCGCCGCGAAUCUCCGCUCGUAACUCCGGGCCUGAACCUGGAGGAGGGAGGAUUUCCUCUGUGCAGCUUUCGAGCGGUAGACUCACCCUGCCAGGCAGACCUAGAUUGGCAUAACCAGAGAUCAGUUCCAGUUGUGAUGCAGUGGGUGUCUACACACUUCUGAUGACACCUUUAUUUUAAAAGCUGAUGUUCCAAGAUUUUUAGGGCAGUUUUUAGUGUCAUUAUGUUGCUGCUACAUAUUUGGAAGAUGGAACAAGCCCAGACAAAGGAGGAUUCUUUUUUACUCAUCUUAAAUCCAUUUUAUUUUCCUUCAUCUGAGCCCCUUAAAACUAAUGUGUUACUGGUGCAAGCGGUCUUCUCUGUCUUCUUUAUGGCCAGUAAAAUUCUCCAGAAGAGAUUUAUGGCAGCCUCACUCCCAGUAGUUUCUGCAUUUAGUGAGAUAAGGAAUGGAUUUUCUUCUGUGUAUUGCUGACACGAACAGGAGACGGAAAUACUGAGUAGAAGAGGGCGGUUCCCUGGCUAAGGCCCCA
rnacentral:lncRNA from 1 species